ensembl:lncRNA
GACACUAUUCCCUCAUCAAGGUCGUUGAUGAAGAUAUUGAACAAGACCAGACCCAGCACCCUGGGGAGCACCACUAGUCACAGGCCUCCAGCCAGACUCUGUGCCACCGAUCACCGCCCUCUGAGCUCGGCCAGUCAGCCAGUUCUCAACCCCCCUUACUGCCCACUCCUCUAUCCCACACUUUCUCAGCUUUGCUAGUAGGAUGUCGUGGGAGACAGUAUCGAAAACCUUGCUAAAGUCAAGGUAGAUGACAUCCACCGCUCUCCCCUCACCUACCCAGCUGGUGAUGCCAUCAGAGAAGGCAACGAGAUGGCAUCCAGAACAAGCUGCUCCAACACCUUUCCAGGGACAGAGGACCUUUCAAAGAUGAUGGAGAGUGGUUUGGUGAUCACCUCUGCCAGCUCCCUCAGCACGCGCGGAUGCAUCCCAUCGGGACCCACGGAUUUGUGUGCAUUGAGCCCACUCAGACGCUCCCAGACCACCCCCUCACCAACCAGGGGGAGCCCUCCAUUUCCCAGACUCUUUCUCCUCCCUCCAGGGUCCAGAAGUCCCAGGGGGGAAUCUUUGAAGCAAAAACCAAAGGAAAGAAGGCAUUCAGUAUCUCCACCUUCUCAGCAUCCUGUGUUACCAGGACACUCCCCUCAUUCAGCAAAGGACCCACAUUAUCCCCAGUUUUCCUUUUACUGUUUACAUAAAAAAAAAACAACAAACUUCUUGUUAUCCUUUAUCUCCUUUGCCAGGUGGCCUUUAGCCUUCCUCAUUGUGUCCCUGCAGGCCCUGACAACACUUCUAUACUCCUCCCAAGAGGCCAAGCCCUUUUUCCACAUUUCCUAUACCUUCCUCUUCCUUUUGAUCUUGUCGAUGAGCUCCUUGCUCAUCCACCCAGGUUUCCUGCCCCCUUUCCCUGAUUUCCUGCUCUUCGGGAUGCACUGAUCCUGAGCUCGGAAGAAGUGCUGUUUAAAUGUUGCUCUCACAAGCACCCUCACCUUCUAGGAACCUAGCCCAUGAGAUACCCCCAGGUAGGUCCUGGAAGAGGUCAAAGUUGGCUCUCUGAAAAAUCCAGGGCAGCAAUCCUACUUUUUGCCUUAUUUCUUCCACCAAGUUCCAUCUUGAACUCCAUAAUCUCAUGAUCCCAAGCUGCCCCCAACCUUCACAUCCCUACCAAGCCCAUCCCUGCUGGUAAGAACAAGGUCCAGAAGCACCCACCACCUCGUCAGCUCCUCAAAUAUGAUUUUGUUCCCUAAAUACGUACACUGUUCUCAGGAACUCUAAGCCUGUUAACGUGCCAACAGUAUUGGGUUUUAUUGCCCAGGAGAUCUUUCAGGGCUUAGUCCAACAUUGCAGACCCGUUAUUAGCAAGGUGAAUCUGUACUGAGAGCAUUACCCUGUAAGAGUGCAAGGGAACAGUGCUGGUGAACCAGGAAUGGGGGCUGGGCCACAUGCCUUGGCCUGUGGCAGUCCUCGUGCUGCCAUCUCAGGUUCCCAACAUUGGAAGCGAUGCAGGUUUCUCUCCUGCCAUGUGAGGAAACGUUUCCUGGUGCUAUGACACCACCUCCUGUGUUUGUUCCCACUGCCUCUUGUCCUGUCCCUAGACACCACUAAGAGCUCAUCUCUGCCUUCUUUGUGCCCUCCCUCGUGGUAUUUUAUGAGGAGAGGCUGAGGGAGCUGGGGCUCUUCAGCUUGGAGGAGACCGAGGGGUGACCUCAUUAACGCUUAUAAAUAUGUAAAGGGUGAGGGGGCCAGGCUCUUGUUGGUGACACCCAGUGACAGGACAAGGGGAGCGGGUGCGAGCUGCUUAAACACGAGACAAAACCGUUGAGACAAAAAGCGCUGGGACGGGCCGCCCAGCGAGGCUGCGGGGCCUCCUUCCCUGGAGACACUCAAGGCCCGCCCGGGCUCGCUCCGUCGUGACGCGAUUUCACAUCUCCCUGCCCCAGCGGGGGGAUCGGCCGGGACGCUUUCUGCAUCUCCCUCCCCACCCCUAAACCACGCCACCCUGCGCUUUCCCCGCACGCACCGGCCCCCCCCGGGCUCUGCCCCGGCUCCCGUUUCGGGCCGGGGGGGGGGCUCCGGGGCUCCCCCUCCCGCCCGCCGCGCUCGGCAACACCCCCGCGCCUCACGGCCCGCACUGAGCCUGCCCAGCCCAGAGGCGGCCCUGAGGGAGGGGCC